CUUGUACUCCCUCCGUCCGAAAAAACUUGUCCCUCAAAUGCAUGUAUCUAGCACAAAGUUAGUGCUAGAUACAUCCAUUUGAGAAACAAGCUUGGGACAAGUUUUUCCGGACGGAGGGAGUAUCAA
rfam:Triticum aestivum genome assembly, contig: Triticum_aestivum_CS42_TGACv1_scaffold_062348_1DL